CUGACACUUUGAAUGUACCUUUAUCUCUGGAUCAGCCAGCUGGUGUUUCAGCAGCUCAUAGUCACCGGAGUCUCCCUUCAGACAAGACAAACAGCGAGUCAUACACGGCCUCACAGAAUCCAGAGGGAUGGCCGUUUAUUAAGUGCAGGGUUUUACUAAGUCCGGUGUGUCCUACCCUCAGCCUCGUCAAGACGCUCUCCUCUUUGGUGCACUUCUCGCUGCACUGCAGAAAGUGCUGUUGCAAUCGCCAACAUCUGGACUGUAUACGGAUAAAUGAUCUGACGUCCUUCAAUUAACAGAAACGUGAAAGGCUGGUAUUCUGAAAGCAAAACCUGUGCUCCCUAUAUUAGGAUGUCUGUGGAUGUCUAUCUUCAGAAUGCCCUUGAAGAUUUGCCCAGCAGUUCAUCAUUAACUGUUUACGUCUAAUAUGCAGCAGCGCUUCACCCACCUCAGCCUGAAGGACGGACACAGGAGUUGCUUUGACAGCUCCACAACAAAGUCUCAAAGCUAGAACUUGCACCACCUCCAACUUCUUGAAUGAGGUUUUUGCUGCCACCCACACUCUAACACUGAUCUAAUCAGCGCUUGUUAAACAUCUCAUCACAUUCAAUAUCUUUUUACACUUGGUGUUUAUCCCAUUAAUAUGUUCAUUACAUGUUAACUUUGCGUCAAACCACGCACCCAAAAAUGUAAAGACUUUGACUUGCUCUAACCUUUGCCCAUACAUCUUUAUCUGUGCAUCAACACCUCUCUUUUUAGUGAACAUUACUAUUUAGUUUUUUUCAGUUGAAAACUUGAAUCCCCAUGAAUAUGACAAUUUUUCAACCACAAUAACUGCCUCUUGUAUUUUUCCCAUAAUAUGAUUAAUGUUCUUUCCCCUUUUUCACAAGGCUCCGUCAUCAGCAAACAAUGACCGUCCAAUAUCGCCACGAACUUGAGAAAAAACAAUGUAUAAAUGAUGUUUUUUCUCAAGUCUGGGCGAUAUUGGACGGUUGUUUUAAUUUUUUUAUCAAUCUCCUUCAUAUCUUCAUUUAAGUCUAUUUUAUCCAUUUCUAUCUCACAUAUAUAUUUAAACAUUUUGCACUGCUAAAUACCCACUUCCCCAGUGUUCCCUGUGUGCACAUCUAAUCUAGUCCCUCUCCCAUCAUUUAAACAACCGUGCUAUUUUCUUCUAGCAGUUCUUCAAUUACCUCACCAUUUGCAUCUGUUCUUAUUCCUCCCCAUCACGUGCUAUGUGCAUUAAAGUCCCCACAUACCAACACCCUAUUACCAUCUAGCCCUGCAAUUUGUGUUAACGUCCUCAAAUCUAACUCACUUCUUUGGGAGCACCUCCUCCUCAAACUCAAGCACAACAUACUCACUGUCCUUCCUCACUCCCUCUCUGGUUACCUGCAACCGUCGAGCACCUUUCAGAAUUCCUCCUUUUAGGUUUGAUUUUAUUUCCUCCACUGUGACUCCGACUGGCACCCCUCAAAUCACUCCCUUACUCCACUUACCACUUUAAACUGCCCGAUUUCUUUCUUUCUUUCAGACCGCUUUCUCUGUUCUUCAUUUUAAACAAUCAACAAAUUACCAUCUCUCAAAACCUUGGCUAUUUGAAUGUUCCCAAUCUGGUUUCUCAAAACGGUUGUCAACUUCACCGGACUCAUUGAAGAAAUUCCAAUUUCCUCGCCAAAUCUCAAUAUAAUCUUAAAUUCCAACCCUUCUUGAUCUCUCCCCUCUAUUCCUCCUCCAAAACCUUCACUGCUCCUGAUUUUCUUUGUACUGGUCCCAGCAAAAUUAUUUCCUCUUUUCUCCCUCCUUCUCUCACUACCUUGGCUUAUGUCCAUACUCAUACUCUCCAUACUCCAUACUCCAUACUCAUCACUAUCAACUAUGUCAGAAUCUCCCCACUCUGGUCCAUUCACAACAUAGUUGUGCCUACCUGCCACAGCUUUCUUCAGCUCAUUGGGUUUCUCCAUUCUUGUUAGUUCUCCUCAUUUCCAACAUCCAACUGCCAAACGUGCCUUUCUCCCAGGAUCAUCUGUCAGCUUUCUCUGAUUGUUUUGUUGAAAAGUUUUAACCAUUCGUCGCCUCGUCACCUAGAGCGAGUGGGUACGUGACCAGAAAUUAAUACAAAACACCUGUGUUGCAUUCAAAGUCUUCCCACAAGCUUGAGUUCCGGUUAGCCUAGGAUGCAUGCCUGAUUAUCAGUGCCCAAUCCUCGUUCGAGAUGAACCGCGCGCCGGAAAAUGGACGAGAUCAGGCAGCAGCAGCAGAGGGCAAUGACAGAAAGCUGCAGUCAAGUCGGACACUCUCCAGCAGCCUUCAAAGAAUAUACAGGAAGUCACAGAAAUAUUUACAUCCUGUUAGAUCCAUCUGUAGGCUUCCUGUAGUUUGCAAACCACAUUCAGAUAACUUGGUCUACUUCGUGUUGUUUUUGCUUGAACAUCUGCAUGUGUGUAGUCCACACAGGAGGACGUUACAGCAGUAAGAUAGUCUGUUAUGGAUGGCUAUCAAACUUUAAUGUAUCGAAGAAUCCAGCCAGUGUAGGUAUGCCGAUAUGGAUAAAAUACAUUUGAAAAUGCCAAGUGGCUCCAAGCAUUUAAUGUUAGCAUUUUUUGUUUCUGUGUUGCUGGUCAUGUAAAUUAAGCACUUUUUAAGUAUUUGUGAAAAUAAAUCUUGAGUUUAAAUGAGUUCAAAAUUGAUACCAUACUGUUGAGCACAAACAGUUUGAAUCACGUUACAUUAGCUCGUUAAUGGGCAGCAGGCGUUAGCUGCUCGGAGGCUCCUGCAUGUGCACUCAAUUUCACGUUGAUCGGGAUGUAUAAAUGGUGUUCAGGACUUGGCGCAUGCACAGUUUUAUACAUCUAAAAUUUCUGUAUGUACAUACUUUUCAUGUUUUGUGAAUAGAGCAGAGCCAAGAUGGCGCCAGUUUAAAACGUUCGUUUAUACAGCAGACCAUCGCUUACUGAAGCCAAAGGGAGACCCCGGAGCUCAUAACAAAUGCUACCCUACUCACUGCGAUCAACAAGAUCGGUGAAAAUCAAGACUCCUUUCUUGAGAAACUUCAGUGUAUUGAGAAAUGUGCCAACGAGAACUUCUGUUGGAGAUGCAGAUGAGGGGUCUUACUACUACCAUGACAGAGUUGGAGCAAAGGGUCUAAUCUCUAAUGAGAGAGAACAAUGUGCUAAAUGAAAUCGAUGCCUACAAGAUGGAAUUUGAAGAUUUCCGGUGUCCUGGAACAAGAAAGUGAAAACGUCAAGAUGACUGUGAUUAAGUUACUGUCCAGAGUCUCACCAGGGAUCAAGGAUUCCCUCCAAAACACGGUGGAUGUGGCACAUCGAUUUGGACCCAAGAAUUCUAAGGGCGGCAGGAAUGGUACGAACACGCAACCACGCCGCAUUAUUGUACAGUUUCUAUCACGAACACGUUGUGAUCGUGUUUGGGCAGACACCAAACACUCAGUUUCUGAAGCAAAAAAAAAUCAAGAUCACAGAGGACUUAACACAACAUGUAAGGGAUGCAAGAGCCAAACUGUGGCCACUUGUGGAACAAGCAAGAAAAGAAGGGAAGUUGGCUAGCUACAGUUGUCCAUUAGCCAUCAUCGCUGGAAGAAGGAUCGCAGCACAAGAUGUCACCUCAUCUUCAGAUGGUUCAUCAGCUGCCUUAUCCCAUUCCAAGACUCGCCAGGUUCCCCCAUCAAUCAACCUCCACAAGAUCCCUCGCCGGAAUACUAAUUACACGCACCUGCUCCCCUUCAGCAUCAAAUCAGUUCUGGAUAAAGGAUCACCGCUCAUCCCGGUCAGUUGUCCGGUCUCGUUAAUGACAGAAAGGACUACUCUCGACAACCCUCGAAUUAUUCCCUCUACAUCUUCUUCGCGCUUCCUCUCCAGCGUGUUCUCCAUCCGUGUCCGUGCCAGCGAGGUACCUCUCCACUGCGUGUCUCCCUACCAGCUCUCCACCAUCCACGACAGAUCCAUAAGAUUAAGGACAGUAUCUGGGCUCCUUCUUCAUUGUCUGUGCUUCCAUUACCUGCCAUCUGUGUCUGCUCUGCUGUUGUUGCAAUAAAUCUCCAUCUUGUCUCAAACAUUACUUUCAAACAUAAUUGUUCUUCACAUUCAUGCAUAAUAUGGAACAAUCAGCAUGUACUGUCUAGAAACAACUCCAGAUACAUAUA